GACACACUGGAGGUUAAAGGAAGGCCCAUGAAAGAUGCACUAGCAGAUGGAACUGGGAACUAUCUAGGCAGGGCUAGACAGCCUGUAGGAGGGGAGUUCUUUCAUUGAAAACUCAGGGCCUGUGUGCCUGCACUCAAGAAUUGAGAAAGAAGGGAGAAUUUUAGCAUGACUGGACUGUAGCAGUACUCAGACCAGUCACCUGUCCCUGUCAUAGCCGGAAGAUUCACAUUAUGCCAGAUGAAGGACCAUGGCUAAUAUCCAUUAUAUUGAAGGUCUGACCUCAAGAUGAGACACAUGAUUUCCAGCUUUUAUCAUAUGUAUUUCUUUUAUCAUAAGACCAUUCUGUUGACUUGAGGACUUGGAGCAACCCAAGACAAUUGAGGAUUAUCUAUUUCUGCAGCGAGCAACCCAAGACAAUUGAGGAUUAUCUAUUUCUGCAGCGGGAUCAAUAUCUACACCGAGGAUGAGAUACAGUGUUUUCAAAGCUUCUCUGUUCAGUUACUCUGAUGACAACUGGAAAAUAUCAUCUACCUUACAUCGCACAUGGUGUUUUCCUCCUGGUGUAUCAGCCCUGCCUUCCCGCAGCCUGACUCAUGUUCACAUUAUAGAAAUCACCUAGGAUGGAUGUUUCUGUAAAGGUAAUAGGAUACCCUUCAGUAGGAAAUUCAGGAUAUCCAAGUUAACACACGAUGUUGAUCAUGAGACCCGUAAAUGUUUCUCCUCACAUCUGCACCCUUAGCUCCAAGUUCAAACCAGCAGACCCAAU
rnacentral:lncRNA from 1 species